GCCAAUGUGGUAUAGUGGUUUGAGUAUUGGACUAUGAUUCUGGAGACCAGGGUUCGAUUCCCAGCUCAGCCA